rnacentral:rRNA from 1 species
UGGGGAAUUUUGGACAAUGGGCGAAAGCCUGAUCCAGCAAUGCCGCGUGUGUGAAGAAGGCCUUCGGGUUGUAAAGCACUUUUGUCCGGAAAGAAAUCCUUGGCUCUAAUACAGUCGGGGGAUGACGGUACCGGAAGAAUGAGCACCGGCUAACUACGUGCCAGCAGCCGCGGUAAUACGUAGGGUGCAAGCGUUAAUCGGAAUUACUGGGCGUAAAGCGUGCGCAGGCGGUUUGCUAAGACCGAUGUGAAAUCCCCGGGCUCAACCUGGGAACUGCAUUGGUGACUGGCAGGCUAGAGUAUGGCAGAGGGGGGUAGAAUUCCACGUGUAGCAGUGAAAUGCGUAGAGAUGUGGAGGAAUACCGAUGGCGAAGGCAGCCCCCUGGGCCAAUACUGACGCUCAUGCACGAAAGCGUGGGGAGCAAACAGGAUUAGAUACCCUGGUAGUCCACGCCCUAAACGAUGUCAACUAGUUGUUGGGGAUUCAUUUCCUUAGUAACGUAGCUAACGCGUGAAGUUGACCGCCUGGGGAGUACGGUCGCAAGAUUAAAACUUAAAU